rnacentral:lncRNA from 15 species
AGAAAAAGAGAUCACAUCUCUCCUGUACUAGCUACUCUGCAUGGCUCCCCUAUAAAAUGUAGAAUUGAAUUUAAAAUACUCCUCCUCACCUAUAAAGCUCUUCAUGGUCAGGCCCCUUCAUAUCUUAAAGAGCUCAUAGUACCCUAUUACCCCACUAGAACACUACGUUCUCUGAAUGCUGGGCUACUUGUGGUUCCUAUAGUCUCUAAAAGUAGAACAGGAGCCAGAGCCUUCAGUUACCAAGCUCCUCUCCUGUGGAACCAGCUUCGAGUUGUGGUUCGGGAGGCAGACACCCUCACCACAUUCAAGAGUAGGCUUAAGACAUUCCUCUUUGAUAAAGCUUAUAGUUAGGGCUGGAUCAGGUGAGUCCUGAACCAUCCCUUAGUUAUGCUGCUAUAGGCCUAGACUAUCGGGGGAUUUCCCAUGGUGCACUGAGCUACUCUCUUCCUCUCUCUUUCUGCACUCAUUCAUGUUCCAUUAAUGCAUGUUACUAACUUCACUUCUUCCUCGGAGUUCUUGUGCUUUCUCGUCUCGCAGGUUCUCAUGGAUCCUGGUGGAGCCUCCUGCCAUGGUCCUGCUAGAUUGCCAUUGCCAAUACUGUUGUUGCUGUGCACCUGUCUGUCUGUCUGUCUGUCGCUCUCUCUCUCUCUCUCUCUCUCUCUCUCUCUCUCUCUCUCCAACUGGUCGAGACAGACGACCAUCCACCUAGAGCCGGAGGAUCUGUUCUAGGUUUCUGCCUUUUAACAGGCAGUGUUUCCUUGCCCUUGUCGCCAAGUGCUUGCUCAUGGUGGUACUGUUGGGUCUCUGUAAAUAAUGUUAUAAAGAGUUCGGUCUAGACCUGCUCUAUUUGAAAAGUGUCCUGAGAUAACUUCUGUUAUGAAUUGGAGCUAUACAAAUAAAAUUGAAUUGAAUUGAAUUGUUAUUAGUGUUAUUAGUAUUAGUAUUAUUAGUAUUAGUGUUAUUAGUGUUAUUAGUGUCAGUGUUAUUAGUGUCAGUGUUAUUAGUGUCAGUGUUAUUAGUGUCAGUGUUAUUAGUGUUAUUAGUGUUAUUAGUAUUAGUGUUAUUAGUGUCAGUGUUAUUAGUGUUAUUAGUGUUAUUAGUGUUAUUAGUAUUAGUGUUAUUAGUGUCAGUGUUAUUAGUGUUAUUAGUGUUAUUAGUGUCAGUGUUAUUAGUAUUAGUGUUAUUAGUGUCAGUGUUAUUAGUGUUAUUAGUGUUAUUAGUGUUCCAGUACCUUGCAGUGGGCGGUGCUCUCCGAGGGGAACAUGGCGUUUGGCGGUAAACUGGCUCUCAGGUCGUCAGAAAUGUUCCUCAGGAUCACUUUGUUGUUGUUGUUGUUGUCUGACAGCAGCUGAUCCAGUUCAUCUGCAGGGAGGAGAACAGCUCACAGUACGGAGGCCCACACAGUCCACUUCACUCACAGCUCAGUGCAGUAGUUUGGGGAGUUCCCGCGGGUUCACUCUGUUCAGCAGCUGCACGAGCUCUGACUGCGCGGCGGGAACAUCCAUCUCCACCCCGAGGACGGAUCGAUGGGACGGAUCGAUGGGACGGAUCGAUGGGACGGAUCAGGAUCAGAUCAGAUCCGCUCUGCAGGGCUGCAGCAGGAACGUGUCUGUGGUUUUAAGGUGGACCCUGCAGACUCCCAGCAGCUGCUGGUCCGUCCGGAACCUCUGCUGGUCCGUCCGGAACCUGCUCCGGUGAGAACACCGACAGUCUGAACGCAGACGGAACCGGUUGAAGACGAUAAGAUUCAGAAUCCCGCUGCUCUUCCGGAUCCUUCAGACCACCUUAAGAGGACAAACAGACCCCGGAAGCAGUUGGUUUUUUUUCUUUAAAUAAAACUUUAAUGAGUUAAACACGUUUACAAAAUAUGAAUAAAUAAUAUUAACCGUCGUCAGUGAAGGUUUAUAAUGAAACAUAUGGAGGCCAGGAUAACAAAUAACAAUAACAAAUGUAUUAGAAUGAUAAAAUAAUGUUUUUAUCAUUCAUUGUUUUUUUCUAAAUGUUUCUAAAACUAUUAAAUAUUCUAUAAAAACUAAAUAAAUGUAAUAACAUAUUAUUUAAUAUUAUUUACAGUUUAAACUGAAAUACACGUUGUUGCCCGAAAGGUGGCAGUAAUGAGUCUCCAGCUGCCGUUAAAUGGACAGAAGAAGAAGUCCGACGACGACGAUGAGAAGUGUUUCCGGGUCAGUUCGGAUUAGAUGACGUUUCUCUGGAGAGUUUCGGUGUUUUCCGUUUGAUCAACGUCACCAACGGUCGGUAAGAAACAGCCGUUAUUCUCCGUUUAACUCUAAAUAACGUUAAUCUCCCCUUUACUGACCG